GAAAAAGUUCUGAAAGCCCUGCACUACCUGUUUCAUUAUGCACCUGCAAGGAGGGAAGACUUUGUGUUAUUGACCAAGUGUGAUAGAUUUCCUCUGCCAUUUUGUGGACAUCGCUGGCUGGAAAACCUUCCAGCAGUUGAGAGAGCCAUUGAAAUUUGGCCAUAUAUUGUCUCCUAUGUGGAUCAGGUCAAAGCCAAGAAGCUCCCCAAUCCAAGGUCAUCAUCGUAUGACACCAUCGCAGAAGCACGGAUGGAUCCCAUUAUCCUGGCAAAGUUGCACUUCUUCAUGAGUAUCUCAAGAACUUUUCAGCCAUUUCUCACCAAGUACCAGACAGAUGCCCCGAUGAUUCCCUUCUUAGGCAGAGAUUUGGAGGAUCUAAUCAGGAGCCUUCUCAGGCGGUUUAUAAAGCGAGAUGUUCAGGUUGAUGUUUCCCCAGUAAAUCUGGUCAAGCUUGAUGUGACAGACCAAAAAUUUUGGGUCAGUCCAAAGCAAGUGGACAUUGGCUUGGGAGCCACAGCUGCCCUCAAGGUGAUAAGAUUGCACAACAGUUUCAGAAGUUCCUGUUUAAUGAGGCCAGAGGAGAGGAAUUCAUGGUCUUCAGUGCAUUGGAUGGGACAUUGCGAGUUGACAGCUUCCUGCAUAAGGCCAUGAAUGGAUAUGCAGAAC